rfam:Solanum tuberosum cultivar DM 1-3 516 R44 scf00302_25, whole genome shotgun sequence.
CUUAGAAACAUCAUUGAGUGCAGCGUUGAUGACAUAUUUGAGAAUUUCUGUAUUUUGGCCUUUCUCAUUUUUCAUCAACGCUACACUCAAUCAUGUUUUUA